rnacentral:lncRNA from 1 species
GUAUUUCUUUUCUCUCCCUAUCUCUUCUUUUCUUUCUUUUUCUUUUUCUCUCUUUCUCUCUCUCUUCUCUCCCCUUUUCUUCCGUGCGGACAGCCCCCCUCCCCACGCCGACUCUCUCUCCUUUUCCUUUGCCGUUUCCUACUUUGCUUUCUCUUCCCUCUUUGACUAGUCAAAAACUUCUCUCUCUUAUCUCUUCUUCUCUCUCCUCUCUCUUCUCCCUCAUCCCACGUGACCUUCUUCUUCUUCUUCGUUCUUCUUUGUGCGAACCAAACCAAAACCAGCAAAGAAGAGCAGCAGCUCGCCGAGGACCACCGUCGCCCGUCCCGCCGCCGCACCGGAGCCGAACCGCCCGCGACGCCGCCCGCACAACGCCGCGCGUUCCGCCGGCCAUCCCUCGCGCCCAGGCGUGCUCCCCCGCGCGAUCCAGCUGCUGCCCAUCCUCUGUCCAGCUCCGUUCGGCCACGAUCCGGCCACCUCCAGCCACCGUGGGCCACCGCUCGGCCUCGCCAAGCCACCACCCGCUCUCCCGACCUCUUGCUGCCCCCAACCCUAUCUCUUUCUUGCUCUUUUACGGCUGAACCAGCAAACCCACGGAGUGGGUAUCCAGUUGUUCGUGGGCCGUUUUGGGCCGUUUCCGGGCCCCGAACCUGAGCCGUGCUUUGGAGACAAUCGUUCCUCGCAUCGCCGCCGUCGGAUUGAUCCGAUUUGCGCGCGAUUUGGUGAGUAAUCUCACUAAUCCCGGAUUAGUUGGCUAAUUAUGCUUUAGGUUGGUUUAGUUUUAAUUAAUUAUGUUUAGGUUGUUAGAUUAGAGUUAAUUAGCAAUUAUUAGUCAAUUGUGAUGCGAUUUAGAUAAAUUGAUUGUGCAAUUAAUAAGUAGACGCGGUCUACUACUUAUUGGGAGUGUCUCGGGAAUUUUCGGACCCCUAAUUGAGCUUCAAUUUGAUGAUUCGGGCCUAAGUGAGAUUUUUGGCAUUUAAAUAUUAAUUUUCGGAAUUAAAUUAAAUAAUUAUUUAUUUUCCGAAAAUUCAAGGGAGAUGGUCUGGAACCGGAAUAUUAUGCAGAUGACUGUGGUGAAGUUCAUUUAUUUAAUCAGGCUUUAUUUUAAGCUAAAUUGAAUUUUUAAUAUUAAUUAAUUUUCGAAAUUAAUUAAAUAAUUAUUUAUUUUACAAAAAUUCAAUUGGGAUGGCUAGUGACUGGAAAUUUAUGCUGAUGACCGUGGUGAAGUCCGUUUAUUUAAUUGGACCUUAAUUUGAGCUAAACAGAAUUUUUAAUAUUUAAUAAUUAAUUUUCGAAAUUAAUUAAUUAUUUAUUUAUUUUUCGGAAAUUAAGUUGGAGAUGGCCGACGACCGAAAUCUCGUGCUGAUCGUCGUGGCGCAGUCCGUUUAUUUAAUUGAGCUUUAAUUUGUGCUGAUUGAUUUAAUUGUGGAUAAUUACUUUAGAAAUGGGAUGAAUCAUCAUGAAAGGCACGUGGCUCGGUGAAUCGUACAUCAUCUUGGAGAAUGCACGUGGCUCGGUGAUUUGGUAUAUCACUUCGGAGAAUGCACGUGGCUCGAUGGUUAGUACGUCGCCUUAGAGAAUGCACGGGGCUUGAUGAUUAGAUAUAUCACCUCGGAGAAUGCACAUGGCUCGGUGACGAAGUAUGUUGCUUUGGAGAAUGCAUGUGGCUUGGUGAUUAAGUGUGGCAUCCUAAAAGAGACACGUGGGCUCGGUAAUUUGAUGCAUUACCUCGGAGAAUGCACGUGGUCUCAAUGAGUACAUUUGGCAUCUAAAAUGACACGUGGGCUCGGUAAUUUGAUGCAUUACCUCGGAGAAUGCACGUGGUCCCAAUGAGUUCAUUGGGCAUCUUGAAGAGACACGUGGGCUCGGUGACUUGAUGUAUCGCCUCGGAGAAUGCACGUGGGCUCGCUGAUUCAAAAUGGCAUUUUAAAGGGCACGUGGGCUCGGUAAAGUAAUGCAUUACCUCGGAGAAUGCACGUGGCUCGGUUAUUGGUUUUGUUAAUUGAGUAUGAAUAGCAAUAGCUUGAAUGAUCGGGAAAUGGUCAGGCUGACAUGUAAUCGACGUGGUCGAUUGAUCAUUACUUUGAUUUAAUGUUGUGAAUUGAUUGACUGAUUGGAAAUGACCGUGAGAGGUCUUGUUGGCAUAUAAUCGACUAUGUCGAUUUGAUCGAUGCUUCGAUCUGUGUUAUGAUUGCUUGGGUGCCUAUUAUGAAUUGUACUGACUUGUAGGUUGGAUCUGAGGCCAAGGUAAGUCCUCUGCCUUGUGCGUGUUUAGGCAGCCUAUAGUAUAAUAGUUUACUAAUUGGGCUUAGUGGGGUAGAACUCGCUGAGACAUAGUCUCAUCCCAGUUUGGGGAAAAACAUUUCAGGACCCCGAUGAGGAGCUGAUGAGGAGGAGUCUGAGAAGGAGAACUCGGAGGUGAAACUUAAAGAGAAGGAUUUUUGGAAGAAGAAGAUAAACUUGAGAGGGGCCUUGAGUAUGGCCUGGAUGGGCUAAAAGUCUAUCUUCUUUUGAGAAUUUCUUUUGAUGUGAAUAGUUAUGAAUU